CCUGCUGGCCAGGCAAUGACAGCCUCACUUGGGUAACUAAGCUGCUCCGAGGAGGCAGCUCCCCAGGCAGCCAUCUGGAAUCCCCAGGCAUUUAACUUACUUCCUGCAUGGCAGCCUGGCAGCUUCCCAGAAUGCAUCAGGCAAGGCCUUCUGCCGGGCAGCCCUGUAGGGCUCCUGUCAUUUUGCUGGCUCCUCCGGGGAAGGAGGAGGAGGAAGACACUGCUGAUGUCAUGGAGAGGCAAGCCCCACCCCAAACCAGCUGUAAGCUUUUGGACCAAACCUCAAGCUUUUUUGCUCUUGAGAAGACUGUCUGCUCUUGAGGGCCGCUCUUUCUACUGAGAAGACCACUACUUGCUAUCCAGUGAGUCAACAUGGAACUGUGCACUGAUAAGAAAUGAUUAAUACAAGACUAUCAUUGAGUUAUUUAAUGAUUACCAUACUAUUAAUUCAUCCAAUUAAAAACGAAAAACAAAUAUACCCUCAUACAGACACCUGUAAGAUCCCCUUCAUCUCCUUGCCAAGUUGCACUUGUCUCUGUUUCAUUGGCUAAAAUCCUGUUUCUUCUGGCAACCCUAGGUGAACUUGUAAAUUUGGGUCCCUACUUUGGCCUGAUGAAGGGAUGGCUCAUGUUCUGAGCAGAGCUCUCUGUGUGUGUCACUCAAAAAUGUCUGGGCCAUAUACGCCCCUUUCUUGGACAAUGGUCCACCUAUGGAAGACAUCCAAGACAUUCUGACAUCCAAGACCCCAAGUUUUGGAACCAUUGAUUUGGAUGACAGCUGAGUUUCCUGCUGGUGCCCCUUGGAUGCUCUAAGAGCAGAAAGACAGACAAUGAAAUCCACCUGCGAAAGCAAGAACUUUGUGGUGCAGAAGAAGAAAUGCAGUAACAUCAUCACUCCAAGAUCCAGACAUCAAUUCCCUGAUAUGAUCGAAUGCCAGUAUGUUCUCAGUCUUAUACUUAUUGUGUUCUGUUGACUCCAUGUGUUUGUCCAGCAUUCUUAUGCGGCUAGGAGGUACCCACACAUACACUACCACCACCAGUGCUGAACGCAAUUGGAAGGAAGCCCUUUUAGUUUCAAUGGAACUUACAAGCAAAUG
rnacentral:lncRNA from 1 species